rnacentral:rRNA from 1 species
AGUGAACGCUGGCGGUAGGCCUAACACAUGCAAGUCGAACGGCAGCACAGUAAGAGCUUGCUCUUACGGGUGGCGAGUGGCGGACGGGUGAGGAAUACAUCGGACUCUACUUUUUCGUGGGGGAUAACGUAGGGAAACUUACGCUAAUACCGCAUACGACCUACGGGUGAAAGCAGGGGAUCUUCGGACCUUGCGCGAUUGAAUGAGCCGAUGUCGGAUUAGCUAGUUGGCGGGGUAACGGCCCACCAAGGCGACGAUCCGUAGCUGGUCUGAGAGGAUGAUCAGCCACACUGGAACUGAGGCACGGUCAAGACUCCUACGGGAGGCAGCAGUGGGGAAUAUUGGACAAUGGGCGCAAGCCUGAUCCAGCCAUACCGCGUGGGUGAAGAAGGCCUUCGGGUUGUAAAGCCCUUUUGUUGGGAAAGAAAAGCAGCAGGUUAAUACCCCGCUGUUCUGACGGUACCCAAAGAAUAAGCACCGGCUAACUUCGUG